GAUGAACGCUGGCGGCGUGCCUAAUACAUGCAAGUCGAGCGAACAGACGAGGAGCUUGCUCCUCUGACGUUAGCGGCGGACGGGUGAGUAACACGUGGAUAACCUACCUAUAAGACUGGGAUAACUUCGGGAAACCGGAGCUAAUACCGGAUAAUAUAUUGAACCGCAUGGUUCAAUAGUGAAAGACGGUUUUGCUGUCACUUAUAGAUGGAUCCGCGCCGCAUUAGCUAGUUGGUAAGGUAACGGCUUACCAAGGCGACGAUGCGUAGCCGACCUGAGAGGGGGAUCGGCCACACUGAAACUGAGCCAGGGUCCAGACCCCUACGGGAGGAAGCAGUAGGAAAUCUCCCGCAAUGGGCGAAAGCCUGACGGGGCAACGCCGCGUGAGUGAUGAGGGUCUUCGGAUCGUAAAACCCUGUUAUUAGGGAAGAACAAAUGUGUAAGUAACUAUGCACGUCUGGACGGUACCUAAUCAGAAAGCAACGGCUAACUACGU
rnacentral:rRNA from 1 species